AAAAAUUUGGCGGUAUUUUAGUCUAUUCAGAGGAACCUGUUCUAUAAUCGAUAAUCCACGAUGGACCUUACUUAAAUUUGUAUACAGUUUAUAUACCGUCGUUAUUAGAAUAUUUUAUAAGAAUAUUAAUUUUCUAAAUUUUUAAAUAAAAAAUAUAUCAGAUCAAGGUGUAGCUUAUAUUUAAGUAGAAAUGGGUUACAAUAAAAUUAUUUAAAUGAAUUUAAAUUUGAAAUGUUUUUUGAAAUUGGAUUUGAUAGUAAAAUUAUAAAGAUUAAUAAUUUGAUUUUAGCUCUAAAAUAUGUACACAUCGCCCGUCACUCUUAUUAUUAAGGUAAGAUAAGUCGUAACAUAGUAGAUGUACUGGAAAGUGCAUCUAGAAUGCAAUUUAAAGCUUUAUAAGUAAAGUAUUUCAUUUACAUUGAAAAGAUUUUUGUGCAAAUCAAUAUAAAUUGAAUAAAUUUUAUUUAUUAAUUUUUUUUUUUGUUAAAAUUAUUUAUUAAAAAUAAUUAUAAAAAUUAUUGUUUUAGUAUUUUAUAAAAAAAAAAUAAAUUUAAUUAUAGUUUAAUAGUAUUGUAAAAGAAAAUUGAAAUAAUUUGAAAAAUUUUUAUUU
rnacentral:rRNA from 1 species